GAGAGAGAGAGAGAGGUCAUUUGGAAACAUCCAACUUCACAUACACUGGACAUAGGUAUAUGUAAUUACAUAAAUUUUCACAUGGCAUCAAAUGACCAGAAUAUGAUGCAACAAGAUGACUUGUGGAAAGUUCUCUGAUAGGUAUUAAAGUUGCAAGGAAAUAUGCAGCAAGUGCAGGUUAUUCAGAGAUGACGAGCAGAUCACAUAUAAAUGAAGAGACAUUGUGGAAAGUCCUGUUUUGACUUUUGAGGCGAUACCAAAUUAUUACAUGACUUGUAAACAAGCCAGGAUAUGCAACAACUUGUAACUCAAGAAAAUUCAUUAUUAAAGUAUGCAAUAUGCAAUAUGGAUAUUUAAGAUGAUAAAUAAUAAAAGAGAGGAUGGAGUUCAAGAAAUAUAACAUCUAACAAGGUCAAAGUUUUUUUUUUUUUUU
rnacentral:misc_RNA from 1 species